rnacentral:tRNA from 2 species
GGGCCGUUAGCUCAGUCCGGUAGAGCAGCGGACUUUUAAUCCGUUGGUCACGAGUUCGAAUCUCGUACGGCCCACCA